GAUGAACGCUGGCGGCGUGCCUAAUACAUGCAAGUCGAGCGAACGGACGAGAAGCUUGCUUCUCUGAUGUUAGCGGCGGACGGGUGAGUAACACGUGGAUAACCUACCUAUAAGACUGGGAUAACUUCGGGAAACCGGAGCUAAUACCGGAUAAUAUUUUGAACCGCAUGGUUCAAAAGUGAAAGACGGUCUUGCUGUCACUUAUAGAUGGAUCCGCGCUGCAUUAGCUAGUUGGUAAGGUAACGGCUUACCAAGGCAACGAUGCAUAGCCGACCUGAGAGGGUGAUCGGCCACACUGGAACUGAGACACGGUCCAGACUCCUACGGGAGGCAGCAGUAGGGAAUCUUCCGCAAUGGGCGAAAGCCUGACGGAGCAACGCCGCGUGAGUGAUGAAGGUCUGCGGAUCGUAAAACUCUGUUAUCAGGGAAGAACAUAUGUGUAAGUAACUGUGCACAUCUUGACGGUACCUAAUCAGAAAGCCACGGCUAACUACGUG
rnacentral:rRNA from 1 species